UCAGAUAGAGGUUGCGCGAUUCAGGAGUAGCUUUUCGGAUGUGGCAGGCACAGAGGAAGAAAAGGGAAAGGGGAAAGCGCCGAAAGAGGAGGGGCCUGGCAUCCGAAUCUUGGGCAUGCGGUGAAGAACCGUAUGACUGUCAUCUGUAAAAGAUGGGGCGCUAUCA
rnacentral:ncRNA from 1 species